UAGCCUAGUGGUUAAGGCUAUGGAUCGCCAAUCCGGAAACGGCGGGUUCGAAUCCCGU
rfam:Aedes albopictus isolate Foshan contig58348, whole genome shotgun sequence.